rnacentral:hammerhead_ribozyme from 1 species
AUCCAGCUGACGAGUCCCAAAUAGGAUGAAUUGUGCCUCAUGGAU